rnacentral:rRNA from 1 species
AAUCUGGAUCACCAUCUAGUGGCAGACGGGUGAGUAACACGUGGGUAACCUGCCUCACACUGGGGGAUAACAGUUAGAAAUAGCUGCUAAUACCGCAUAAGCGCACGGUGUCGCAUGACACAGUGUGAAAAACUCCGGUGGUGUGAGAUGGACCCGCGUCUGAUUAGCUAGUUGGCAGGGCAACGGCCUACCAAGGCGACGAUCAGUAGCCGACCUGAGAGGGUGAACGGCCACAUUGGGACUGAGACACGGCCCAAACUCC